rnacentral:misc_RNA from 1 species
AAGUCGUAACAAGGUUUCCGUAGGUGAACCUGCGGAAGGAUCAUUACCGCUUGCUCCGCGGCGCCGCCCUUCGGGGGGAGCCGCAGCAUGCAACCCUUGCCUAUGUAUACCUUUUGUUAUUCCCUCGGCGGGGCGACCCGCCGCCGGGGAGCAAUCAAACCCCUUUGCAUCAGCAUCAAAACUUCUGAAUCAAAACAAAACAAUCACAACUUUCAACAAUGGAUCUCUUGGUUCUG